rnacentral:rRNA from 1 species
GAUGAACGCUGGCGGCGUGCUUAACACAUGCAAGUCGAGCGAAGCACUUAAGUUUGAUUCUUCGGAUGAGGACUUUUGUGACUGAGCGGCGGACGGGUGAGUAACGCGUGGGUAACCUGCCUCAUACAGGGGGAUAACAGUUAGAAAUGGCUGCUAAUACCGCAUAAGACCACAGUACUGCAUGGUACAGUGGUAAAAACUCCGGUGGUAUGAGAUGGACCCGCGUCUGAUUAGGUAGUUGGUGAGGUAACGGCCCACCAAGCCGACGAACAGUAGCCGACCUGAGAGGGUGACCGGCCACAUUGGGACUGAGACACGGCCCAGACUCCUACGGGAGGCAGCAGUGGGGAAUAUUGCACAAUGGGCGAAAGCCUGAUGCAGCGACGCCGCGUGAAGGAUGAAGUAUUUCGGUAUGUAAACUUCUAUCAGCAGGGAAGAAAAUGACGGUACCUGACUAAGAAGCCCCGGCUAACUACGUGCCAGCCGCCGCGGUAA